rnacentral:rRNA from 1 species
CCCUUAGACGUUCUGGGCCGCACGCGCGCCACACUGACCAGUGCAACAAGCAUCCGUCCUUGGCCGACAGGCCCGGGCAAUCUUUGAACGCUGGUCGUGAUGGGGAUAGACUUUUGCAAUUUUUGGUCUUCAACGAGGAAUUCCUAGUAAACGCAAGUCAUCAACUUGCAUUGAUUACGUCCCUGCCCUUUGUACACACCGCCCGUCGCACCUACCGAUUGAAUGGUCCGGUGAAGCCUCCGGAUUGGCGCGCACCCCGGUGCCGCCGAGAAGUUGGCUAAACCUUACCAUUUAGAGGAAGGUGAAGUCGUAACA